ensembl:snoRNA SNORA75 Small nucleolar RNA SNORA75
CUCUUCUCAAUGAGCUCCUUCCUGCCAGCAAAUCUCCGUGGCAGUUGAUGGAUUCGCACGAGAAGGAAAUUAACUGUACAGUACUGGCAAACUCACAGUGGGGCUCCAUCGAUUGUGAUUAGCCACUGCUGUCCUACAAGU